rnacentral:misc_RNA from 1 species
GAUGAAGAACGUAGCGAAAUGCGAUAAGUAAUGUGAAUUGCAGAAUUCAGUGAAUCAUCGAAUCUUUGAACGCACAUUGCGCCCAUUAGUAUUCUAGUGGGCAUGCCUGUUCGAGCGUCAUUACAACCCUUAAGCCCUAGUUGCUUAGUGUUGGGACCUUAGAUAACCCUCUCGUGAGGGCCUAAUUCCCUAAAGACAUGCAGAGUUCCGGCAUACUCUAAGCGUAGUAAUUAUUUUCUCGCUUCUGAAGUUGUCGGCGCGAUCGCCACAAACCUCUAUAUUUUCUAGUGGUUGACCUCGGAUCAGGUAGGAAUACCCGCUGAACUUAAGCAUAUCAAUAAGCGGAGGA